rnacentral:siRNA from 1 species
ACCUUUCUAAAAUCGCUUGUAAA